UACUAGGUAUAGUAUAUGAAUGUAAACAGCGUAUCUCCGAUGACCACUGCUUAAUACGCAACUGAAAAUGAAUGGAAGUAAAACGAAAUUUCACUGCAAUUGUUUACAUAGUUUAUAUAAACAAUCUUUGUAUAUCAGCCGAUUCGCCUUCAUGUGAGAUUAUUAAACGUUUGAUCUUGCUGACCCCAAGAUAAAUCACAUCCAUCUCAAUUGGUGUCCGACCGAUUCAUUUCUUUUGUUUCGUCGGUGCAGGGUGGUGGACGUCGUAGUAAACAUGUUCAGGACGAGGUUAUGUUUGGUAAUUAUGGUACUGCUGAUGGGUUUUCUGUUGGCGAUGCCUCUAGAUGAGACCCCGCCACAGAGCGUCACUUCAACCACCGCGGUCAACAAUAACAGUGUAUGCCUAUAUGGAUUCGAGUAUGUCAAUGGGAGUUGUAAGGAAAUUUUUUGAAAAAGGAAGGAAUAGAGGUCGCGAUAUAGAAGAAAUAAACAUAUGCAAGAUUUUGUGUAUAUACUACGUUCUGUAUUAUUUAUUUAUUUAUUUCUGUUAUAUUACAUUACUUUUUAUCCAACUGGAGUUUGUCUUUGUAUGUGUGGGCAAUAUCUGAUUUACUUAUACCUAUGUCUAUCUAUAGCUUCUAAUUCAUUUUCAUGUUAAAAUGUAUGUAUAUUUUUUGUAAAUCUCACUUAACGUGCUGUACUUAGAUUAAGUACGACAUUUGAUGUUUUAUGUACCUAUGUAUCACAAAUGAUUAAAAAAAGGUGAAGUGUUCAA